GUUGCAGUUAAAAAGCUCGUAGUCUAAUGUAUGGGAGCUGCGGGGUGGGUGUUUUGCUGGUUUUGCCGGUAAGACAAUACUCGCCCCGCUUCCCGCUAUUUUUGCUCUCUUUUGAAAGCAAAUGUUUCACUGUAAGUAAAACAACUCGCUCAACAGCAAGGUUAUCUUGAUAUGAAUUAGUAUGGGAUGAUGAGAUAGGCUCGGUCCGUAUUUUGUUGGUUUUAGUGGUCUGAGAAUGAUGAAGAGGGACAAUUGGGGGUAUUCGUAUUUACAUGUCAGAGGUGGAAUUCUUGGAUUUUGGAAAGACGAACUAAUGCGAAAGCAUCUACCAAAGAUGUUUUCAUUGAUCAAGAACGA
rnacentral:rRNA from 1 species